AACAUUUAUAAAAUUUUAAAAUUUUAAAUGACGAAUAACGUAAGCAAAUUGUAUUUCUGAGCUUCCAUAUGGCAAUGAAAAACAAUAAUUAAAACAAGUGAUGCAAAGGUAUAGAGUUAUUUGAUGUUGGAUGAUAUAAUGAAUAGUGAGGUGUUAGGGAUUUGUAUACAACUAUUAAAUGAAGUUUGAUAGGUAAAUUAGAGAGGACAGAGCUUUGAUCAUAUCUAGUGACUGAGCUAGAUUUACAAAGUUGCAAUCAAGCAAUGGUGGAGUUGGACAUAUUACUAUUCCUCUAUUCCUUUCCAUGUAUAUGUAUAAUGUUUUUGUAAAAAAAAACAGGGGAAAAAGAGAGCUAUCUAUUUCAAUUUCAUGAAACUUAUUAACUAAAUAGGAGAAAAGAUCUUGAAAAGGCUAGUUAAGCAGUUUACCACAAUUACUGCUUCUUAACUGAUCGGCCCCUUAUAAAAUUGAAAGUUUUUUGCAUCCGUUUAGGCUGCGGCCCUUCUUCCUCUGUUUCAUCGUGGAUAUUACGUUUUCGUUUUACAAGGGAAGUGCUACCUGUGGAUCCAUCCUUGUCAGUAGAGUGUUGAUGGUUUGCUACUUGGUACUAAGUGUAAAUCAGGGGCUGCAUUGAAAAUCCUACUGUACAAGCCCGUUUAGCCCAACAAAUCAAAGCCCCAACCCAAACAAAUCAAGGCCCAAAUCCCAAGUUAAGCCCAAUACCCAAAAUUAGAAAAAAAUAAUAAAUAAACCCUAGGUGCGGUGCACCUAGGGACUUUUGACAGCCGACGCUUGCAGCACCGCCCAUGUCACAUCCACCGCCCGUGUACCUGCAAGAAGAACAGAGUAAUCAAUUGAGAAGCAAGUUGUAAAGAAAUGGCUAUAAAAGGCCAAGUUCAAAACCAUUGUUCUCUCUCGGCAAUCUUUGAUAUAUACAAAAAAAUUUCAAUCUUUUUAGACAAAAAACAACUCCAAAGAUCAAAAGUAAGAAUAUAGCAUCAGAUCAAACCCAAAAACUUGAGAAAUUAAAACUAAAGGGCCAAGGUGACUCUUCUUUCCCUUUUUUGUUUCUAUUUCACGGCCAAAUCUAUUCAUUUCACAUUCGUAUAUGCAUAAAUAUGUAAUAUGAAGAAAUAAAAAAGAUAUACACCUUAAAACGUAAAAAAAGGGGAGUUUUUACCUCUGACCGCCGUGCACGGCGGUCGCCAACGGCGGAGACGCGACGGAGAGCGGUGGCAGCUCGCCGGAACCCCGACCGAACCAAGAGCGCCUGCACAGAGAAAAUGAAAGAAAGUGAUUUUUUUUAAAGCAGAAAGAAAGAAUGAAUUUUUUUUAAAAAAAUUUAGUUUAUAUAGAGGUAGAAAACGACGUAGUUUCAUGGGGAUUUCGGAGACCUCAAAACGGCGCCGUUUGGCCCUCGACUCGCGCAGGUGACCCGACCCGCUAGAGGAUCCGCGUAUUUUUGUAUGAUGGUCUAACUGCGCUGGGGGUCCUUCCAAUUUUUAUAUGUUUCGCAAUCAGGUUUUCAUUUAUUUUAAUUUAGCUCUGAAGUUUAUCAAGUUUUUCGAUUUGGUCCUCCC
rnacentral:lncRNA from 1 species